rnacentral:rRNA from 1 species
UGAGUAUGGAAGAAAGAUGCAAUUGUAUCGUCUGGAGAUGAGCCUGCGGUCCAUUAGCUUGUUGGUAGGGUAAAGGCCUACCAAGGCGACGAUGGAUAGCCGGCCUGAGAGGGUGAUCGGCCACACUGGGACUGAGACACGGCCCAGACUCCUACGGGAGGCAGCAGCUAAGAAUCUUCCGCAAUGGGCGAAAGCCUGACGGAGCGACGCCGCGUGAACGAGGAAGGCCGAAAGGUUGUAAAGUUCUUUUCUUAGGGAAGAAUAAUGCAGGGAGUGGAAAGCUUUGCAGAUGACAUUAACUGAGGAAUAAGCCCCGGCCAAUUACGUGCCAGCAGCCGCGGUAAUACGUAUGGGGCGAGCGUUGUUCGGAAUUAUUGGGCGUAAAGGGCGUGUAGGCGGUUUUAUAAGCCUGGUGUGAAAUACCACAGCUCAACUGUGGAGACGCGCUGGGAACUGUAAGACUAGAGUUCAGGAGGGGAAGCUGGAAUUCCUGGUGUAGGGGUGAAAUCUGUAGAUAUCAGGAAGAACACCGAUGGCGAAGGCAAGCUUCUAUCCAUGGACUGACGCUGAGGCGCGAAAGCGUGGGGAGCGAACAGGAUUAGAUACCCUGGUAGUCCACGCUGUAAACGAUGUGCACUGGGUGUAGGGGGCGUUGAGCUCUCUGUGCCGUAGCUAACGCGUUAAGUGCACCGCCUGGGGAGUAUGCUCGCAAGGGUGAAACUCAAAGGAAUUGACGGGGGCCCGCACAAGCGGUGGAGCAUGUGGUUUAAUUCGAUACGCGAGGAACCUUACCAGGGCUUGACAUGUACUUGAAGGCUUAAGAGAUUAAGUCGACCUUUAGGGGACAGGUACACAGGUGCUGCAUGGCUGUCGUCAGCUCGUGUCGUGAGAUGUUGGGUUAAGUCCCGCAACGAGCGCAACCCUUACUGUCUGUUACCAGCAGGCCUUCGGGCGCUGGGGACUCAGGCAGAACUGCCGGUGACAAACCGGAGGAAGGUGGGGAUGACGUCAAGUCAUCGUGGCCCUUAUGUCCUGGGCUACACACGUGCUACAAUGGCAGGUACAAAGCGUUGCGAGACGGUGACGUCCUUAGCAAAUCGCAAAAAGCCUGUCUCAGUUCGGAUUGGAGUCUGAAACUCGACUCCAUGAAGUUGGAAUCGCUAGUAAUCGCGCAUCAGAAUGGCGCGGUGAAUAUGUUCCCGGGCCUUGUACACACCGCCCGUCACAC